rnacentral:tRNA from 1 species
GGGAGCUUGGCUCAGUUGGAAGAGCGCAGGUCUCAUACACUGUAUGAUCCGGUCCUAGAUCGGGAUAUCCUGAGGUCGUGAGUUCGAGCCUCACAGUUCCCA